rnacentral:rRNA from 1 species
GACGAACGCUGGCGGCGUGCCUAAUACAUGCAAGUAGAACGCUGAAGGAGGAGCUUGCUUCUCUGGAUGAGUUGCGAACGGGUGAGUAACGCGUAGGUAACCUGCCUGGUAGCGGGGGAUAACUAUUGGAAACGAUAGCUAAUACCGCAUAAUAUUGACUAUUGCAUGAUAGUCAGUUGAAAGGUGCAACUGCACCACUACCAGAUGGACCUGCGUUGUAUUAGCUAGUUGGUGGGGUAACGGCUCACCAAGGCGACGAUACAUAGCCGACCUGAGAGGGUGAUCGGCCACACUGGGACUGAGACACGGCCCAGACUCCUACGGGAGGCAGCAGUAGGGAAUCUUCGGCAAUGGACGGAAGUCUGACCGAGCAACGCCGCGUGAGUGAAGAAGGGUGUCGGAUCGUAAAGCUCUGUUGUAAGAGAAGAACGAGUGUGAGAGUGGAAAGCUCACACUGUGACGGUAUCUUACCAGAAAGGGACGGCUAACUACGUG